GCCUAUGCCAUAGGAGGGAAGAGAUUAUUACAGCCUGUUCCAAGUCUUCAAAUUACAGUUUUGAUUUGGGAGAGGAGAAAUGAAGGAAAGGAUGUCUGCCUCUAGGACCUGUGAUCUGCUCUUUGCUUUGGAAGCUCAGAGAACAAAGGCACACAUUCACUGGAUGCCAGGCCGCAACAAGGGACUAAUGCUAAAACUCCCAGAUACCUGCUGCUUCCUGGAUAAAGGAAGAAUUGCGUUUGAGUGCAAGUAGAAAGGAUGCAGAGCCAUGGCUACACAUGUAGAGCAAGAUUUUCAGUGCCUGAGAAGAGAGAAGACAUCAAGUAAAAGAACACAUUGGGCUGUAACUUAGAUACACUGACACAAACCCAGGGCCCAGAAAAGGCCCCUGUGCUGCCACACCAUACACACACCUCCUGGUGUAGUAUCCACACCAUUGUCCUCUUACUUCCCCUUGGGCCAUUCUGGAAACUGGAUCCUGUCUAAGCUCUGGCCUGGCCUGUCGACUCAACCAGCGCCUUGGGUACGUCCUCUUUCCUGCUUACCUUGAGUUUAACAUGACAGGAAUUGCUCUGUAAGCGGUUCAGGAGGUACUCCAACAGACAUUGGCUGCUUCCCACUGACUCAUGGGAAAUUUCUGGAAGGCAAUCAUGUUAGGGAAAGAAUAUUCUCCAGAUUACACUAAAGUGAAGGGGAAAAUUGAGCCUUCCAAUUACAACCUCCUCUUUUUUUCCAUAAUUGUUUCUUUUGAGGAGAAAUUACAAUAACUUAGGUUUAGCUGAAGUAUCAGCAAACAACCUUCUUCUGUCUUCCCAGUACCAUUGCCCAAUAACCUCAAUUAAUCCAAGAAUCCUUGAUGGGUAAACCCAUCAAAAGCCAUAGCUGUUUCAUGGUCUGUCCCAAAACUUGCUUUCUUGGGAAAAGGAUACUAGCAAUUUCUUCAAACAGGUAGCCCGGGCAGGGGACAUCAUCAUCAGACGUUCCUUUCAUCAGGAUUGGGAGCUAGAUGAGAACAAGAGAACCCCCUUCCAUUGGUUAUCUUUUCACACAGGGAUAUACCUAUACCUAUGUCCAUUCUUUAGGUGUAGUUCUUUCCAGGCACACGAAGAAUGUGACCUAGAUACUUGAUCUAAAAGCCUGGUGUUGCAAAUGGCACUUUUAGCUCCAAAUUUCUUUUCAUCUCUUUUUCAAUAAGUCAGACAAAGAGGGUUGUUGGGAAUGCUACUGAUAGCUCUUAAGGCUGGAA